UACGUAGGCAGCGAGCGUUGUUCGGAAUUACUGGGCGUAAAGAGUGUGUAGGCGGUGUUCCCAGUCUGUUGUGAAAUCUCCCGGCUUAACUGGGAGGGUGCAGCGGAAACUAGAAUGCUAGAGGGUGGGAGAGGUAAGCGGAAUUCCUGGUGUAGCGGUGAAAUGCGUAGAUAUCAGGAGGAACACCUGUGGUGUAGACAGCUUACUGGACCACUUCUGACGUGAGACACGAAAGCGUUGGGUAGCAAACAGG
rnacentral:rRNA from 1 species